AUACGUAGGUGACAAGCGUUAUCCGGAUUUACUGGGCGUAAAGGGCGUGUAGGCGGUCUUGCAAGUCAGAAGUGAAAUUCCUGAGCUCAACUCGGGCGCUGCUUCUGAAACUGCAGGACUUGAGUGCUGGAGGGGAUAGCGGAAUUCCUAGUGGAGCGGUAAAAUGCGCAGAUAUUAGUAAGAACACCGGUGGCGAAGGCGGCUAUCAGGACUACAACUGACACUGAGGCCACAAAUCGUGGGGAGCAAACAGGAUUAGAUACCCGGGUAAUCCACGCCGUAAACGAUGAAUACUAGGUGUAGGGGGUAUCCACUCCCUCUGUGCCGCAGUUAACACAAUAAGUAUUCCGCCUGGGGAGUACGGCCGCAAGGUUGAAACUCAAAGGAAUUGACGGGG
rnacentral:rRNA from 1 species